rnacentral:rRNA from 1 species
CUUACACAUGCAAGUAUCUACACCCCAGUGAGAAUGCCCUCUAGGUUAUUAAAACUAAGAGGAGCUGGCAUCAAGCACACACCCUGUAGCUCACGACGCCUUGCUUAACCACACCCCCACGGGAAACAGCAGUGACAAAAAUUAAGCCAUAAACGAAAGUUUGACUAAGUUAUAUUAAUUAGGGUUGGUAAAUCUCGUGCCAGCCACCGCGGUCAUACGAUUAACCCAAGCUAACAGGAGUACGGCGUAAAACGUGUUAAAGCACCAUACCAAAUAGGGUUAAAUUCUAACUAAGCUGUAAAAAGCCAUGAUUAAAAUAAAAAUAAAUGACGAAAGUGACCCUACAAUAGCCGACGCACUAUAGCUAAGACCCAAACUGGGAUUAGAUACCCCACUAUGCUUAGCCCUAAACACAGAUAAUUACAUAAACAAAAUUAUUCGCCAGAGUACUACUAGCAACAGCUUAAAACUCAAAGGACUUGGCGGUGCUUUAUAUCCUUCUAGAGGAGCCUGUUCUAUAAUCGAUAAACCCCGAUAAACCUCACCAUUCUUGCUAAUACAGUCUAUAUACCG